AGCACGAAACUUGCCCCGAGAUGAGUUCUCCCUGACCCUUUAAGGGUCCUGAAGGAACGUUGAAGACGACGACGUUGAUAGGCCGGGUGUGUAAGCGCAGCGAUGCGUUGAGCUAACCGGUACUAAUGAACCGUGAGGCUUAACCUUACAACGCCGAAG
rnacentral:rRNA from 1 species